rnacentral:rRNA from 1 species
GGGGAAUAUUGGACACUGGGGGGAACCCUGAUCCAGCCAUGCCGCGUGUGUGAAGAAGGCCUUAUGGUUGUAAAGCACUUUAAGCGAGGAGGAGGCUCGUUUGGUUAAUACCCAAGAUGAGUGGACGUUACUCGCAGAAUAAGCACCGGCUAACUCUGUGCCAGCAGCCGCGGUAAUACAGAGGGUGCGAGCGUUAAUCGGAUUUACUGGGCGUAAAGCGUGCGUAGGCGGCUUUUUAAGUCGGAUGUGAAAUCCCCGAGCUUAACUUGGGAACUGCAUCCAAAACUGGCGAGCUAGAGUAUGGCAGAGGGUGGUGGAAUUUCCUGUGUAGCGGUGAAAUGCGUAGAUAUAGGAAGGAACACCAGUGGCGAAGGCGACCACCUGGGCUAAUACUGACACUGAGGUGCGAAAGCGUGGGGAGCAAACA